UACGUAGGGUGCAAGCGUUGUCCGGAAUUAUUGGGCGUAAAGAGCUCGUAGGCGGUUUGUCGUGUCUGCUGUGAAAUCCCAGGGCUUAACCCUGGGCCUGCAGUGGGUACGGGCAAACUAGAGUGCGGUAGGGGAGAUCGGAAUUCCUGGUGUAGCGGUGAAAUGCGCAGAUAUCAGGAGGAACACCGGUGGCGAAGGCGGAUCUCUGGGCCGUAACUGACGCUGAGGAGCGAAAGCAUGGGUAGCGAACAGG
rnacentral:rRNA from 1 species